UGGGGAAUAUUGCACAAUGGGCGCAAGCCUGAUGCAGCCAUGCCGCGUGUAUGAAGAAGGCCUUCGGGUUGUAAAGUACUUUCAGCGGGGAGGAAGGGAGUAAAGUUAAUACCUUUGCUCAUUGACGUUACCCGCAGAAGAAGCACCGGCUAACUCCGUGCCAGCAGCCGCGGUAAUACGGAGGGUGCAAGCGUUAAUCGGAAUUACUGGGCGUAAAGCGCACGCAGGCGGUUUGUUAAGUCAGAUGUGAAAUCCCCGGGCUCAACCUGGGAACUGCAUCUGAUACUGGCAAGCUUGAGUCUCGUAGAGGGGGGUAGAAUUCCAGGUGUAGCGGUGAAAUGCGUAGAGAUCUGGAGGAAUACCGGUGGCGAAGGCGGCCCCCUGGACGAAGACUGACGUUCAGGUGCGAAAGCGUGGGGAGCAAACAGG
rnacentral:rRNA from 1 species